GGGGCUGUAGUUAAGCUUAUAAUAAUUAAUUUGCAAUUAAUAGUCGCUGAAAGCCAGCUCUA
rnacentral:tRNA from 1 species